ACAUCUAUUUGGGGAGGAGCCAAGAUGGGGGGGAGGAGCCAAGAUGGCCGAAUAGGAACAGCUCCUGUCUACAGCUCCCAGCUUGAGCCACGCAGAAGAUGGGUGAUUUCUGCAUUUCCAUCUGAGGUACCAGGCUACACCCUGCAAGGUCAUUAUCAUUAGCUGCACUUUACAGGAGAGGAAGCUGAGGCUCAGAGAAGCAAACUGCCCUCCUACUUAUGUUGAAGACUUUCCCAUCCUAUGAGCCCAGGUGGGAGAAGCUGAAAAUGGCAGAAGGUCACUUUUCCAGCUGCCCUGUGCCUGGUGAGCCUGUGACACAGACCCCGUUGCUCACAUAUCCACCCAGUUUGGUGCCAUAGGUGGUAGGUAAGUGGGAGCCCCAAGGAAGCUGCUCUGGCAGCAUGGUGCUGGUGGCCUGGCCUGGUGCCCUGUGCUGGGUAGGGGAGGGAUACUGGCAGCAUCUCUGGUUUGGGGAAGGUAAGGGGCCCCAGAGGUCUGUUUGGCAGGGCAAUUUUGACCAAAAUUGGAACAUUGCUUUUAGCUGGGUAGCCCCAAGUCUGGCUCUAUAGCCUUUCUACCAAU
rnacentral:lncRNA from 10 species